rnacentral:rRNA from 1 species
UUUAUGGAGAGUUUGAUCCUGGCUCAGGAUGAACGCUGGCGGCGUGCCUAAUACAUGCAAGUCGAGCGAACGGACGAGAAGCUUGCUUCUCUGAUGUUAGCGGCGGACGGGUGAGUAACACGUGGAUAACCUACCUAUAAGACUGGGAUAACUUCGGGAAACCGGAGCUAAUACCGGAUAAUAUUUUGAACCGCAUGGUUCAAAAGUGAAAGACGGUCUUGCUGUCACUUAUAGAUGGAUCCGCGCUGCAUUAGCUAGUUGGUAAGGUAACGGCUUACCAAGGCAACGAUGCAUAGCCGACCUGAGAGGGUGAUCGGCCACACUGGAACUGAGACACGGUCCAGACUCCUACGGGAGGCAGCAGUAGGGAAUCUUCCGCAAUGGGCGAAAGCCUGACGGAGCAACGCCGCGUGAGUGAUGAAGGUCUUCGGAUCGUAAAACUCUGUUAUUAGGGAAGAACAUAUGUGUAAGUAACUGUGCACAUCUUGACGGUACCUAAUCAGAAAGCCACGGCUAACUACGUGCCAGCAGCCGCGGUAAUACGUAGGUGGCAAGCGUUAUCCGGAAUUAUUGGGCGUAAAGCGCGCGUAGGCGGUUUUAAGUCUGAUGUGAAAGCCCACGGCUCAACCGUGGAGGGUCAUUGGAAACUGGAAAACUUGAGUGCAGAAGAGGAAAGUGGAAUUCCAUGUGUAGCGGUGAAAUGCGCAGAGAUAUGGAGGAACACCAGUGGCGAAGGCGACUUUCUGGUCUGUAACUGACGCUGAUGUGCGAAAGCGUGGGGAUCAAACAGGAUUAGAUACCCUGGUAGUCCACGCCGUAAACGAUGAGUGCUAAGUGUUAGGGGGUUUCCGCCCCUUAGUGCUGCAGCUAACGCAUUAAGCACUCCGCCUGGGGAGUACGACCGCAAGGUUGAAACUCAAAGGAAUUGACGGGGACCCGCACAAGCGGUGGAGCAUGUGGUUUAAUUCGAAGCAACGCGAAGAACCUUACCAAAUCUUGACAUCCUUUGACAACUCUAGAGAUAGAGCCUUCCCCUUCGGGGGACAAAGUGACAGGUGGUGCAUGGUUGUCGUCAGCUCGUGUCGUGAGAUGUUGGGUUAAGUCCCGCAACGAGCGCAACCCUUAAGCUUAGUUGCCAUCAUUAAGUUGGGCACUCUAAGUUGACUGCCGGUGACAAACCGGAGGAAGGUGGGGAUGACGUCAAAUCAUCAUGCCCCUUAUGAUUUGGGCUACACACGUGCUACAAUGGACAAUACAAAGGGCAGCGAAACCGCGAGGUCAAGCAAAUCCCAUAAAGUUGUUCUCAGUUCGGAUUGUAGUCUGCAACUCGACUACAUGAAGCUGGAAUCGCUAGUAAUCGUAGAUCAGCAUGCUACGGUGAAUACGUUCCCGGGUCUUGUACACACCGCCCGUCACACCACGAGAGUUUGUAACACCCGAAGCCGGUGGAGUAACCUUUUAGGAGCUAGCCGUCGAAGGUGGGACAAAUGAUUGGGGUGAAGUCGUAACAAGGUAGCCGUAUCGGAAGGUGCGGCUGGAUCACCUCCUUUCU